rnacentral:rRNA from 1 species
UACGUAGGGUCCGAGCGUUGUCCGGAAUUACUGGGCGUAAAGAGCUCGUAGGUGGUUUGCCGCGUUGUUCGUGAAAACUCACAGCUCAACUGUGGGCGUGCGGGCGAUACGGGCAGACUAGAGUACUGCAGGGGAGACUGGAAUUCCUGGUGUAGCGGUGGAAUGCGCAGAUAUCAGGAGGAACACCGGUGGCGAAGGCGGGUCUCUGGGCCGAUACUGACGCUGAGGAGCGAAAGCGUGGGGAGCGAACAGG